UCCGUUCGUGGAAGGAGAGCCUUCGCCACUUCUCUCCUCUUCCGUGCUGCUCGAACCCGUUCUCCCAAUCUAGGGUUCCAGAGAUCGCGAGGAAGAACCGAAGAAGAGUAGUAGUUCGGUAAAGAGGAAGGAAUGAACCGGAAGCUUAGAAUCCGAAGGAAGCCUACGAAGCGGCGAAGGAGAAGGGGUUUCGCCCAGGUCGUGGUGGAUUAUCCCGCGUCCGAUUGCUACAUUUACGCUGCUGUCCUCGACCCGCUGCCCCCUGAUUCGUUGCCUUCGUCUGCUUCCCCCUCUCCUUCCUCCAGAGAUCGUAGCUAUUGUCAUAACAAACAGAAUGGGCUGCCCUGCGAGAUUCGGUAUGAAAUCGACGGAAUGAGAAAAGUGAGGUAUUAAUCUUCUUUUCGGAGUUAUCAGAGGAAUUCAAGAUGCAGUGUGCUGAGAUGGUAAGAUUGCUUCUUUACGGUGUACAGACAAAGGGAUAUCUGUAGUGCAUUUGCAGUGGCUAAUUUCAAAAUGACACUGCAGGCGCCUGCUACUGAUGAUGAGCACUGGUGAGUAUAUAUUUCUUACUAAUGGUUACUUGGUGAGAUUCUGUUGUAUCAUCUGGUCUUGUUUGUGUUUGUGCCCUUCUUGUUGCUGUAUCUGCAAACCAAAUACUAAACUUUAUUUGUAAACUUUAUCAUUGUGCUGUAUGUGGACAAUACUCUUUUUAUGCCUAUACUAGCAUGUGAAUCAGUGGUGGUUAUUUAGGAUUGGUGUUCUUGUUUCAUUUACAUCUAUGAUUAUUUAGAUUGAUGAAUUUGUUGAAUGCUGUUUUGCUAACUUGACUAUAAUUCUGAUAUAUUUACUUGAUCGAUAAUUGCUUUAUAUAUGGAUUGGCAAGGGUAAUAUUCAUUGUGUGUAAAAGAAAAUGUUUGUUAAUUUAAGAUUUUAUCUUUCUGAUAUGGACUAUUAGGCUAGUAGCUGAUAAUAAAUAAGUCUUUUUAAAUAACAGGUGACAAGCACCAAUUCUGGUUAACAAUAAUUUAUUGGUGUAGAUGUUAUGAAAAUUUACAGAAAUUGAAAUUCUUGGGUCAAUUCUAUUGGAUAAAGUUACUAGAUAGAAGGUUUUAUCGGUGAUAGAUUUAAGCAUGGAUCAAGAUUUUUUUGUUACAAGGAAGUCAGAUUGGGUGAUUUAAGCCAGAUUUGGAUCCUCACUUUUCCUUAUCUAAUUGCACACCGAAUAGGUAAGAAUUUCAUCCUAGUUGCAAUUUUAGCUGAUGAAAUUAUGGGGCACCACUCUGACUUUGACUGAGAUGGAUUUGUAUAGAAGUAGAGAGGGUGAGGCGAGUUUGGCUAUGGAGAGCACUGUUUAUCUCAAAAUCACAAGUGAGCAAUUACAACAAUGCUGACAGUAAGAAUGGUUUCAAUUCUGCAUUAAGAGAGGGUGAUGGUGGCAGCCUUUCAAUUUUCUAUAUAUCUGGGAAGACUAUGAAAAUUAUUACAGCUCUUUCAUUAUGUUUGAAUCAUUCCUAAUAUUUUGAGCAUUGUAAGUGGUAACCAAGCAAUCAUUUUCUCGUUGUACUGUAAUGUACUCGGAUCCUGUCGAGUCUUCUUUUCUCCAAUUUUUAGUAGUCUCUGAUCUGAUGCUUUACUGAAUAUGAGUAUGUAGGAAAAUUUCAUCAAUUUUCCAGUGUGUGCCUUUCUCAUGUGCAAAGCCCAUUAGUCCUUCUGCCGACUUGGACAUGUGAACUCACUACAAUGUUGGACUGUUUAAGCUUUUGGAACAAGUGGACAACCAACCAUUAUUCUGUCCGUAAUAAAAGCCACAAGUUAUGUCUUCACUCUGAAGAGCACAUACACUUGAUGCAGUAAGAACUUUUUUAAUCCUAAUAACAUCAUCAUAGUAAGACAUGCUUGGCUGAGUUUGAGUCUUGCAUGGUUUUUAAAUGGAACAAAAAUGCAAGGAACUUAACAAAAAUGGAGAUAAAAUGGAAAUUAACCAUUAUAGAAACUUAAGAAGGUUUUGAAGUUGGUCCUCCGAAAUAGCAUUAUCAUGGCUUUGAUGGACUUUUUUAACAUAUGCUUUAUAUUUGGAAUAGGUGAUUUUUAUGUGUGGUUCUCAAUUGUGACCACUGCAAUAUCUAGUUGGUUUUGAAAGUUCAAAUUCCAUUUUUUAGUAUCAGUAAUAUAAACUUCCACAGAUGUUAGUUUUCACUAUCAUUCUCUAUUACACUUCAUCAAGAACACUUGAUAAAAUACUCCACAUGAUUGCAUAUAUUUUAACCAAUGACAAGAAUGUUUAUGCUGAGUAAAAAAAGAUUAAAAUGAGAAAACUAAGGAGAAAAAAAGAAAUGGAAGGAAGAUUUCCUCUUUUUGCUUCUAUGUUUGUCAACUAUGAGGUAUGAACAUCGAUAUGAGACACAAACAUGGUAUGAUUUUUAUACAUUUCACACCAAAUGAUAGAAGUUGGAUGUAGCCUAAAAGGGAUCCAGUGAUUAAUAAAUAUAUUUUCCCCAUAUGUUAUUUAUUUUUUUAUGCUUUAUAUAAUAUAUAUGAUCUAUGAUUAUCAUAUACAAAAAUUAUGAUAAAUAUGGCAACAAUUUAUGUGGCUAGCAAAUGUUAAAAAAUUCUAAAACAUAUGCAAAAAAAUAAGGAGCAAAUCAAAUCCAAAUUACAUAUAUUGACAAUAUCCAACAUGUCUAAAGCCUUAUAAAAGAUGAUAUAAGCAUCCUACAUAUACAUGAUACAUUUAUAUAAAUAAGUGUUGAUGGUAUGAGAAUUUUAGCAGGAUUUGAAAUAGUUAACAUAUAUAUGAUCUAUGAUUAUCAUAUACAAAAAUUAUGAUAAGUAUGGCAACAAUUUAUGUGGCUAGCAAAUGUUAACAAAUUCUAAAACAUAUACAAAAAAAUAAGGAGCAAAUCAAAUCCAAAUUACAUAUAUUGACAAUAUCCAACAUGUCUAAAGCCUUAUAAAAGAUGAUAUAAGCAUCCUACAUAUACAUGAUACAUUUAUAUAAAUAAGUGUUGAUGGUAUGAGAAUUUUAGCAGGAUUUGAAAUAGUUGACAUGUGUCAAAAAAAGUAUUAAUUGAGUGGCAAGUGCAACCUGGACAUGACAUCGACACAAGUAAUAUGAAGUUCCUGUGGUUCUUUAGUAUUUAAAAAUAGAAUAUUGGAAAGAAGAAAAUAAGAGACUCUGAUCUGAUCUAUCACAUUCCUGUCCUCUCAACAUCUACCUGCUAAUAUGUCCUGACAGUAAAGAUAGCAAACUUCUUGUGAUCUCCUCUUUUGGACCUUGUCAUGCACAUCAUAUUGAGUUACUUAGUAUAAUUGCAUGUCUUACAUCCACCGAUGAUGUUUAUUUGACAGUGAGUGUGGAGGAGAAGAGAACUGAUUUUUGCGUUUCUCCUUUCUUUUUCUUACAAGAUGCAAUUAAGCUCUUUUGUUCUUUUGAUUGCUAUUUAUCCUUCUAAUAGUUCCUCAUCAUACACUAUAUCAUUUUGUCAAGUAAUCUAAUGAUAGAACUUGACUGCAACAACUUUGUAAGUUUUAGGAACUAAUUGUUACAAAUUGGAAAGUUGGAAUUUGACAUGAAUUUUUUAUGACUUUUGAGUUACUUUUUGUUGAUGAGGACUUCAUGUGAUGAGCUCAUAGAUGGGGAAAGUUACAUGUGCUUUUACUUCCGUAGGAGAUGUCUUUAUUUCUGGUUGUGGGAAGAUUGGUUUAGUAUUACCUGUCUAUUUAAUAGUCAAGUACUUCUAGUUUCAUUUGUUGGUUCAAUGGACACUCCACAUGCAAGCACAUGGUGUAUUAGGCCCACCACCACAAUCUACCAAUUUAUACCAGAUAAACUUUGAUAUCUGUGGUGUUAGUAUCCAGUUUCAUGAUCUGUGAUUGUUCAUGUGACUGUGAUUGCAUGAAAUAAGCUGUGCUGUGGGCUAUGAUAAACAAACCUAGAAAGGUUUUCUUUUGGAACAUAGGAAAACUAGUGGAAAGUGAAAAUUAAGUCAAGCUGUUUCUUUCUGCUUGAGGGAGUUCAUCCUCUUUUCUCCUUACAUGUAAUGGUGGCAAAGUUAGAUUGGCAAGAUCCGAGAAACAUGGGUGACAAGAUGUCGAACUGUUCCUUCUAUCACUAUCAUGUGGUUUUGAGAGAAAGGAAUAUAGUGUAGAUGGUACUUGAAAUGACCCAAUUAAUCUUUGUAGCAGGGACAAGAGGAUCCUUAACCUAUGCCUUACCAUUGUCAUUGCCAUAUUCUCCUUCUCAUGUUUUCGUCUUUAACCAUCAGAGUAAUAAGCAUUUCUUGUGCUGUGGAUGCACCCUUGUCUAGCUAUACUUUACAGUAUCAGAUUUUAUUUGAAUACUGCUGUCCUUCCCCACGUAUUGUAUUCUUAUAUUA